CAACCAAGGUCCAAAAUCUUUGAUCCAAACAGAAGAAAGACGAAAUGUCCCUCCAAACCCCCCGCAUCCUCCCUGCCCACCUUCACGCCU